rnacentral:misc_RNA from 1 species
AAUCGCCAUUAAAAUUGUCAACGAAGCUUGAAAACAGCAGCAGAUCACUCUAUGAAUAUCUGAUAUUCUUAUACUAAUCAACUGUGAAUCUGCACUUCUUUUUGACGAAGAAAUCGAAUGUACAGUUUACUAAAGAAGCACAAGUUUCAACAGAGUUAAUAACUUUUUUCUCCAGGGUCUCUAGAGGCAGUUGAUUCUGCGUGGAAUGGCGGGCAGCAACAUUAAUCAGCCCUUAUUAGACCAGCUGCCUAAAACCCUUCAAAAUGUUGAUUCAAGGAGAAGAAGACUUCGUCGACUUAAAAGUGCUCCUAUGCCGGAAUUUAUUCCUGGAGAAAUGAAUGACAUAAAGGACGACCAAUCACUCCCACGUUACGAGUCAAUAUUGAAUAAACUACAUCCAAGUUUUAGGAAAGUCAUUCUGUACCUGGUUAUAUACUUGGGAAUUGGUACCACAUGCUUUUACUUUGUUCAGAACCAGAUCCAGGGAAAGAAA